GACGAACGCUGGCGGCGUGCCUAAUACAUGCAAGUCGAACGGAAAGGCCCUGCUUUUGCGGGGUGCUCGUGUGGCGAACGGGUGAGUAACACGUGAGUAACCCGCCCCUGACUUUGGGAUAUCUUCAGGAAACUGGGGCUAAUACCGGAUAGGAGCUCUUGCUGCAUGGUGGGGGAUGGAAAGUUUCGGCGGUUGGGGAUGGACUCGCGGGUUAUCAGCUUGUUGGUGGGGUAGUGGCUUACCAAGUUUUUGACGGGUAGCCGGCCUGAGAGGGGGACCAGGCUCAAUGCGACUGAGAUACGGCGCAGACGCGAAUCGGACGCAGAAGUGGGAAGUCUUGCACAAUAAGCGGAAGUCAGAGGCGACGGCGUCGCGUUCGUGAUGACGUGCUUCGGGUUGUGAACCACUUUCUCCUGUAACGAGGCGUGAGUGACGGUAAUGAAUAAAAAAGCCCCGGCUAACUACGUG
rnacentral:rRNA from 1 species